CUUGACGAGGGCAUUCUUGGAAAGAAUCACAGACGGUUUCUGUCUUUAUGAACGUUGGAAGAAACCAAAACGUCGUCAGUUAGCCGUCGAUGGAUCAUCUGUUAAACUUCAACGGAAACUUGUCUCUCUUUCGCUUCUCGAAGAAGACAUGACAGCGAUUUCAAGUUCGUUAUAAGACAAGAAGCUUUUCAAAACACAUUCCAGUUUCAUCAAUCUCCCUGAAAUUGAAGAGACAGAGAAAUCUUUAUAUUUACAGCUGCAUGAACCCAACAAAUGUUCUUAUCUACGUAAGAAAAAUUGUAGCUUUUUUUUUUUUAAUAUUUGGUUCUUUUGGUGGUUGAAGAUAUCAGAGGCAAAGUUUCAGGUUAAGUUUUCAGUUCUCGAAAACCCUAGAAGUUUCUUUCUGUUUGAGGUUUCUCUGUUUAACUCUGCUUUAAGGUAAUGUUGGGUUCCUUUAGUUUGAUUAUGAUUUUUGUUAUGUAGACUUCUUUCUUCUCUGUUUGGUUGCUUAGGAAACCGUAGGAAAACGUGGGAAAUUUUUGUGACUGAGGAAGGGAAUCACAAAACUGAAAUGUGGGUUUUCGAAAAUUUUUUUGAUGUAUGAAAAUGUUUUCUUAUUCUUUAUUCAUUUUAACCGUGCUUGUAGAUGGCUCAAUAACUCAUUUUCUUUUACUCUGUUUUCUUGGGAAACAAACAGAAAGUUCACAAUUUUUUUUUUGUAGGUUUUAAGGUAACGUGGAUUGUGAUACUCGAAGAAUAAAUUUGUGUUAUAAGUAUUAUUUUGCCCUAAGUUAGCAGAAGAAAUUAAACCUGCUUCACCUUCUUCAUGUUUUGACAGUAGUUUUGAUACUAGUACAAGAUCAGCUUCUCUUCUAGUGUAUGCUUUUAUGACUAUAGUUUCUCAAUUUAAAUUGGAAAUGUCCCAUUAGAUUCAAAUUGGUGGAUUGAUGGAUUAUUUGAUGUUGAAAUUUAUCCAUUGAAUCAUCAUUAUCUAUUUAAAAUUUAAUUUUUUGAUCAAUUCCAAAACUCCACUGUAAGUUUUGGCUAAAAUUUUUUCUCAAGAAAAUAGGGAUGAUUUACCAUUGCUGAUAAAAUUUUUUUGUUAAUUUCAGCACUGCAAUAUGCAUACUGUUAUUGAAGCUGUACAUAGGGUUAAGGAAUUGGAGGGUCCUGAACUCUCUCAGAAACUUGACUUCAAUUUGGGUGAUCUUAGAAAUAGGAAGGACCCGGAGGAGUUUUUCUCUAAGACAAAUUAUGUUAACUGGACAUAGUUUUGAUUGUUUGCGGUUUGCUAUGAGUCAUAAUCAUCCACAUUUUAAUUAAAUUUAUGUCAUUGUACUACUACUUCUUGAAUAAUGAAGAAUUUUCUACAGGAUUAGAAGUCAUUGUUUGUCGGGUGCAGUCAACAAUAUCCGAGACUACAUCCAUGUUAUGGAGUAUGGACUUGGCUGAUGGUCAUUUUGCUUAUCUUAGGAAGCUGUUUACCACUGAUAAUACAGGUGAUCAAUUUAUGUUAUUCAAGUUUUUACAUCUCAAUGGACUUGCAUUCAUGUAUAUGUAACAUAUAUGAAGGUUGCCGGUAGUUUCUUUAGGGAAAUUUAUGGGUGCUUUAAUCUCAUUUAUUCUUCUAGGUUGUUGUAUUGCUUACAACUUGGGAACAGGCUGUGAUACAUCUGAGCUUGGUUGUUGCUUUGAUAAUUUGAAACACGAUACGAUGACACAACAUAAAAAUAAUAUAAAUAA